CGGAUCGGGUCAUUGGGUAGGCGAGCCCGGGGACUAAGGGGACUUAGGUGGUGCGAGCGCCGCUUCUCGAGUCGUCAGCAGCUGCCUCGUAGCGAUUGGUUCGUUUCGCUCCUCCUCCUUCGGUACCCACUUCUCCCCCUCGACCGGCGCCUCUUCGUGCAGGCGAUGUAGCAGUGGCGCCUCUUCUUCUUCCUGAGCAAGCUCAGCGACCACUACCUCGUGGAGGCCCGGUCGCCGCGGAUGACCCCGGAGUGGUGCGAGCUGGAGGAGGUGUUCGAAGUGCGGCACCUGCGGCGGCUCCAGCAGCUGACCUAGUACAGCACGAUGGUGGGCCUUAGACCACCCAAGCCCCCCUUGCAACCCGUGCUGGGCGUACAGGAGAUGUGCGAGUCGCGGCACGUCCAGGAGACGGAGAAGCUAGCCGAGCUACAAGAACUACGUCUGUUUUAACGACUAAUAUAAUGACCUGAAGUUUUACUCCUACCCAGUAAAAGACCACUAUAAACCCCACUUCAACUAUGAUCCAAGAGCAUAUAAAGGUAUACAUGGAACAGUAAUGACGUAGCAGACGUGUUUUAAUUACACCUGUUCCGACAUCUUAUAUAACAAUCGACAUUCUUGAACCUGCCGCCUAAACCCCGAUACGGUCCUCCCCUCAGAGUACGACCCGUCUAUAAGACAACACAACCACGAGAGCGUUAGUGGCCGAGAAACGUAGUGUAACUAUCUCUAGAGGAACCUACCACCGAAACACUCGCGGUCACAUCUCUACCUCCCGAGUUACCCGCAGGACUCUUUGAACGACUACACACGAUGAGUACCACCCACAAUAGUUCGAACUAUUAAUAACUAUCUCACGUGACCUAACUGUUCCUUUUUGAACGUUUCAAGUAUAACUUGACAGUCCUGUUCCUUUUACCACCUUAAAGACUAUCUGGUCUAUUACGCCAGCUAUAGAUGGUGUGCAUGAAACCUCAACGUCCCGAAAGUAACUACCUCAUAGGACCUCACUUCGGAUAGCUAGGACGGAUGCGGGAGGGAAAUCUACAACAGUUGUCCUAGAAGAACUGUUUUGUUGUUAUCACACGGAAUCGAUCCUUCUAGUACAACACUGACGCUACUGCAGUCCAGUCGUGCUCACCUCUCGAAUGGGGAGGAAGCCAUCGAGCGUGACUACAAAGACUAGUGAGGGUACGUACUCUAGUACCGAAACUUGCAAACUACUAUAUCACGUCCGGAGUAUAAAUGGUCCUUUAGGCCUGUGAACCAAUACAUCUUCUCACAUUGCAGGUUCCUGACUCUUAGUUUAAGUUAGUUCUAAUAAAAACAACCUUAUCAUAUUAGAAAGUUUUAAUAGAACCAACCGGCUGGUUGAGAUCGGCUUACCGACAUAUGGGAAAGGGAGGUAUUAUUGGCAGUAUACCUAGCGAUAAGUUGUUUUUUAAGCCUUCCGUGAGGUAUAAGAGGGGAGGUCGGACACAUAAACCUCCGUCCCCUUCUAAAGCCUCCCACAAGUAGGUACCCUAAAGACCGCCCUCCCUUCAAGGAGG
rnacentral:rRNA from 1 species